rnacentral:rRNA from 1 species
UACGUAGGGGGCAAGCGUUGUCCGGAAUCAUUGGGCGUAAAGCGCGUGUAGGCGGUCCGGUAAGUCGGCUGUGAAAGUCCAGGGCUCAACCCUGGGAUGCCGGUCGAUACUGCCGGACUAGAGUUCGGAAGAGGCGAGUGGAAUUCCCGGUGUAGCGGUGAAAUGCGCAGAUAUCGGGAGGAACACCUAUGGCGAAGGCAGCUCGCUGGGACGUUACUGACGCUGAGACGCGAAAGCGUGGGGGAGCAAACAGG